UACGUAGGGCGCAAGCGUUAUCCGGAAUCAUUGGGCGUAAAGAGCGCGUAGGCGGUCCGGUAAGUCCGCUGUGAAAGUCAAGGGCUCAACCCUUGAAUGCCGGUGGAUACUGUCGGGCUAGAGUCCGGAAGAGGCGAGUGGAAUUCCUGGUGUAGCGGUGAAAUGCGCAGAUAUCAGGAGGAACACCGAUGGCGAAGGCAGCUCGCUGGGACGGUACUGACGCUGAGGCGCGAAAGCGUGGGGAGCAAACAGG
rnacentral:rRNA from 1 species